rnacentral:rRNA from 1 species
CCUACGGGUGGCAGCAGUGGGGAAUAUUGGACAAUGGGGGGAACCCUGAUCCAGCCAUGCCGCGUGUGUGAAGAAGGCCCUCGGGUUGUAAAGCACUUUCAGUGAGGAAGAACGCCUGGUGGUUAAUACCCAUCAGGAAAGACAUCACUCACAGAAGAAGCACCGGCUAACUCCGUGCCAGCAGCCGCGGUAAUACGGAGGGUGCGAGCGUUAAUCGGAAUUACUGGGCGUAAAGCGCGCGUAGGUGGCUUGAUAAGCCGGUUGUGAAAGCCCCGGGCUCAACCUGGGAACGGCAUCCGGAACUGUCAAGCUAGAGUGCAGGAGAGGAAGGUAGAAUUCCAGGUGUAGCGGUGAAAUGCGUAGAGAUCGGGAGGAAUACCAGUGGCGAAGGCGGCCUUCUGGACUGACACUGACACUGAGGUGCGAAAGCGUGGGUAGCAAACAGGAUUAGAUACCCUUGUAGUC